GCAGUCGUGGCCGAGUGGUUAAGGCGAUGGACUCGAAAUCCAUUGGGGUUUCCCCGCACAGGUUCGAAUCCUGUCGGCUGUG
rnacentral:tRNA from 1 species